rnacentral:misc_RNA from 1 species
UAUACGACACCGACAACUUAAUCAAGCGUCACACAUAUGACGAAUACAUAUGGGCUGCUGUCUCUCUCUAUCUGGAUGUUAUUAAUCUCUUCCUCUCGCUGCUCGCUGUCUUCAGGGCUGCUGAUAGCUAAUUGAUCAAGAUUUGUGCAUCUUGUUUGUUAAUGGAUUAGAUGAGAUAGUUAUCAAUAUGUAAAUGCGACCAAGUUGUUCAGUUCUGCGGCCCUACCUAAUAUUCCGAGAAACGAUGUUAAUACUGAUAAGUAGUUGAUUACAUUUUACAAUUCUAGCUAUUGUUGUCUUACCAGACUCAUUGUUGCUGAUUCCAGGAAGAGAAAUGAAUGGCAUUGGAGUAGUAAAGGACUGCUCUCUGGGAAAAAAUGUCCGAGCGAAACUCGGCCCAUGUAAAAUUGGAUAUUGGAGAUUGGUUGAUUGUUGUUGGGUCAGCCUGUGGAGUUUAUGGCAUGUUUGGGGUAUCUGAAUUUAGG